rnacentral:rRNA from 1 species
GACGAACGCUGGCGGCGUGCCUAAUACAUGCAAGUCGAACGAACUCUGGUAUUGAUUGGUGCUUGCAUCAUGAUUUACAUUUGAGUGAGUGGCGAACUGGUGAGUAACACGUGGGAAACCUGCCCAGAAGCGGGGGAUAACACCUGGAAACAGAUGCUAAUACCGCAUAACAACUUGGACCGCAUGGUCCGAGUUUGAAAGAUGGCUUCAGCUAUCACUUUUGGAUGGUCCCGCGGCGUAUUAGCUAGAUGGUGGGGUAACGGCUCACCAUGGCAAUGAUACGUAGCCGACCUGAGAGGGUAAUCGGCCACAUUGGGACUGAGACACGGCCCAAACUCCUACGGGAGGCAGCAGUAGGGAAUCUUCCACAAUGGACGAAAGUCUGAUGGAGCAACGCCACGUGAGUGAAGAAGGGUUUCGGCUCGUAAAACUCUGUUGUUAAAGAAGAACAUAUCUGAGAGUAACUGUUCAGGUAUUGACGGUAUUUAACCAGAAAGCCACGGCUAACUACGUGCCAGCAGCCGCGGUAAUACGUAGGUGGCAAGCGUUGUCCGGAUUUAUUGGGCGUAAAGCGAGCGCAGGCGGUUUUUUAAGUCUGAUGUGAAAGCCUUCGGCUCAACCGAAGAAGUGCAUCGGAAACUGGGAAACUUGAGUGCAGAAGAGGACAGUGGAACUCCAUGUGUAGCGGUGAAAUGCGUAGAUAUAUGGAAGAACACCAGUGGCGAAGGCGGCUGUCUGGUCUGUAACUGACGCUGAGGCUCGAAAGUAUGGGUAGCAAACAGGAUUAGAUACCCUGGUAGUCCAUACCGUAAACGAUGAAUGCUAAGUGUUGGAGGGUUUCCGCCCUUCAGUGCUGCAGCUAACGCAUUAAGCAUUCCGCCUGGGGAGUACGGCCGCAAGGCUGAAACUCAAAGGAAUUGACGGGGGCCCGCACAAGCGGUGGAGCAUGUGGUUUAAUUCGAAGCUACGCGAAGAACCUUACCAGGUCUUGACAUACUAUGCAAAUCUAAGAGAUUAGACGUUCCCUUCGGGGACAUGGAUACAGGUGGUGCAUGGUUGUCGUCAGCUCGUGUCGUGAGAUGUUGGGUUAAGUCCCGCAACGAGCGCAACCCUUAUUAUCAGUUGCCAGCAUUAAGUUGGGCACUCUGGUGAGACUGCCGGUGACAAACCGGAGGAAGGUGGGGAUGACGUCAAAUCAUCAUGCCCCUUAUGACCUGGGCUACACACGUGCUACAAUGGAUGGUACAACGAGUUGCGAACUCGCGAGAGUAAGCUAAUCUCUUAAAGCCAUUCUCAGUUCGGAUUGUAGGCUGCAACUCGCCUACAUGAAGUCGGAAUCGCUAGUAAUCGCGGAUCAGCAUGCCGCGGUGAAUACGUUCCCGGGCCUUGUACACACCGCCCGUCACACCAUGAGAGUUUGUAACACCCAAAGUCGGUGGGGUAACCUUUUAGGAACCAGCCGCCUAAGGUGGGACAGAUGAUUAGGGUG